GACAGAGGUGCCAAGCGUUAGGCGGAAUCACUGGGCUUAAAGCGUGUGUAGGCGGAAUGGUAAGUACCUUGUGAAAUCCCACGGCUCAACCGUGGAACUGCUUGGUAUACUGCUUUUCUUGAGCCACUUAGGGGCAACCGGAACAAACGGUGGAGCGGUGAAAUGCGUAGAUAUCGUUUGGAACGCCAAUGGUGAAAACAGGUUGCUGGGAGUGUGCUGACGCUGAGACACGAAAGCCAGGGGAGCAAACGGG
rnacentral:rRNA from 1 species